GCGGGUGUAGUACAACGGUAGUAUGCGACCUUCCCAAGGUCGAGACCGGGGAUCGUCCCCCCGUGCCCGCACCA
rnacentral:tRNA from 1 species